AACGCGAAGAACCUUACCAAGGCUUGACAUCCCGAUCGUCGGCCUAGGAAACUAGGCUUUCAGUUCGGCUGGAUCGGUGACAGAUGCUGCAUGGCCGUCGUCAGCUCGUGUCGUGAGAUGUUGGGUUAAGUCCCGCAACGAGCGCAACCCUUGUCGUGUGUUGUAUUUUUCACGCGAGACCGCCCGGGCCAACCGGGAGGAAGGUGGGGAUGACGUCAGGUCUGCAUGGCUCUUACGCCUUGGGCCACACACGUGAUACAAUGGCCGGAACAACGGGUCGCGAAGCCGCGAGGCGAAGCUAAUCCCACCAAACCCGGUCCCAGUUCGGAUUGCAGGCUGCAACUCGCCUGCAUGAAGUUGGAAUUGCUAGUAACCGUGGGUCAGCACACCACGGUGAAUACGUUCCCGGGCCUUGUACACACCGCACUACUA
rnacentral:rRNA from 1 species